rnacentral:rRNA from 1 species
CACGUAGGGGGCGGGCGUUGUCCGGAUUUAUUGGGCGUAAAGAGCUCGUAGGCGGCUCAGUAAGUCGGGUGUGAAAACUCCAGGCUCAACCUGGAGACGCCACCCGAUACUGCUGUGGCUAGAGUCCGGUAGGGGAGCAUGGAAUUCCUGGUGUAGCGGUGAAAUGCGCAGAUAUCAGGAGGAACACCAGUGGCGAAGGCGGUGCUCUGGGCCGGAACUGACGCUGAGGAGCGAAAGCGUGGGAGCAAACAGG